ACGCUCGACACCUACGGGAGGCAGCAGUGGGGAAUAUUGGGCAAUGGGCGCAAGCCUGACCCAGCAACGCCGCGUGAAGGAAGAAGGCCCUCGGGUUGUAAACUUCUUUUAUCAGGGACGAAACAAAUGACGGUACCUGAUGAAUAAGCCACGGCUAACUACGUGCCAGUAGCCGCGGUAGUCUGAGCGGGCUGGCAAGGC
rnacentral:rRNA from 1 species